UACGUAGGGUGCAAGCGUGUCCGGAAUUAUUGGGCGUAAAGAGCUCGUAGGCGGUCUGUCACGUCGGCUGUGAAAUCCCGAGGCUCAACCUCGGGUCUGCAGUCGAUACGAGCAAACUAGAGUGUUGCAGGGGGAGACUGGAAUUCCUGGUGUAGCGGUGAAAUGCGCAGAUAUCAGGAGGAACACCGGUGGCGAAGGCGGGUCUCUGGGCAACAACUGACGCUGAGGAGCGAAAGCGUGGGGGAGCGAACAGG
rnacentral:rRNA from 1 species